UCAGGCCUUCGGCUCAUCUGUCAUUUAUAAGCCUCCACAAUUCAACAAAUUAUGAGGGGCAUAAAAAAAUAAUGAAAUCUUUUGUGGUUUCUCCCCGGUGCGUUUAACUCCCCAAAAGGCCCCUAAUAUAUCUUCGAAUUGCUCGUAUCUAAACGAUUUCAGCGGCCUUUUCCAAUUGUAACGACUCUCUUGGAUUUCGAAAAGAACUUUCGUGUUUCAAACUUCCUAUCCGCCGAGAUUAUUGUUUCGAUCUCCUUUGGACACGAUUGCACACAAAACCGGAACAUCGAGUACGGCAAAACGGAGCGAUUACGGACGCGAUCACGAUGAUGGGUUACGAUUAGAUGGUUAGGAUGUGCCAGAUGGAUCGGAUCGAAUGGAAGGUCGGAAAAAUUCGAAAACGCUGCGGAUGCGGCUGCGGAUGCGGAUAAGCGGACUUCGAGUGCUACUGCGACUGCGGACGCUCCGCUCACUGUGUGUUCCCAAAGCGUGCUAGUCAGAGACUGAAACCAUGAGCAAAAAGACCCUGUCGAUGAGGCGACGCUUCGUGCGUUCAUGCCGAGCACGUUUGCGGCGGGGCGAGCGCGAGAGAGAGAGUGCGAUGCGGCGCCGUGCGGCGGGAGGGAGAUGGGGAGAGUGAGAGCGAGUAGUGGGCGAGUCAGGUAAACGACAAGAAUGGUCAGCUAUAGUGAAUGGGUGACCAUUCCAGGUGUGAUAUGGGUUUAUCCAUGAUUCCCAAUUCAUCCUUGCGAUCUGACGAAACUGCGGCUUAAGUGAAUGAAACGGUGCUAACUCUCUGAUUCAUCCAUUAGUCCACUAGAGCUAGCAUCAAAAAUACCGGUAUAAUUAUCAUUGCUAAUUAUACUUUGUAGCUAAAAAAGUUAUUAAUUUAAAUGAGAAGAUGAUAAUAUUUAAUUACAAAUAUGUAAAACUAUUGUUUUACUCACUUGGUGCUUAAAAA